rfam:Erinaceus europaeus unplaced genomic scaffold scaffold00848, whole genome shotgun sequence
CCAAAGGCUCUUCUUAGAGCCAUCCAUCUUGUCAGAAAAUUAGCUG